rfam:Myotis lucifugus cont2.6484, whole genome shotgun sequence.
GGUUUUCUCAGGUGAUGCACCCGGAAUCGGGCUCCCUCUUCUCUGGUUCCGGGUGCAUCACCCGAGAACCGCA